rnacentral:rRNA from 1 species
GACGAACGCUGGCGGCGUGCUUAACACAUGCAAGUCGAACGGAAAGGCCCUGCUUUUGUGGGGUGCUCGAGUGGCGAACGGGUGAGUAACACGUGAGUAACCUGCCCUUGACUUUGGGAUAACUUCAGGAAACUGGGGCUAAUACCAGAUAGGAGCUCCUGCUGCAUGGUGGGGGUUGGAAAGUUUCGGCGGUUGGGGAUGGACUCGCGGCUUAUCAGCUUGUUGGUGGGGUAGUGGCUUACCAAGGCUUUGACGGGUAGCCGGCCUGAGAGGGUGACCGGCCACAUUGGGACUGAGAUACGGCCCAGACUCCUACGGGAGGCAGCAGUGGGGAAUAUUGCACAAUGGGCGGAAGCCUGAUGCAGCAACGCCGCGUGCGGGAUGACGGCCUUCGGGUUGUAAACCGCUUUCGCCUGUGACGAAGCGUGAGUGACGGUAAUGGGUAAAGAAGCACCGGCUAGCUACGUG